GAUUGAGGAGCAAAUGACAAAAGUAAUUAUGUUGAGUUACCUAACUUUGAGAUAUAAUGAAAGGGGAUUUUGCCGAAAUCUAAAAAUUAUAGGGAGGAUUUUUAGGUUGGGAAUAUGGAGAAUAUCCAUAUAACUGUCAUUGAUAUUCAAUGUUGUGCUUUCUGU
rnacentral:ncRNA from 1 species